rnacentral:miRNA from 1 species
UGUGACAUCACAAUGCUCCAUUGUGAUAUCACAAUGCUCAAAUCUGCCAACACUAGGCUCCACGUGCUAAUAUAUUGCUCCAUGUGCCAUCACA